GAUGAAGAACGUAGCGAAAUGCGAUAAGUAAUGUGAAUUGCAGAAUUCAGUGAAUCAUCGAAUCUUUGAACGCACCUUGCACCCUUUGGCAUUCUGAAGGGUAUGCUCGUUUGAGUGUCAUUGUACUCUCACACUCCCGAUCUUUGCAUUGGGAGCAGUGGACUUGGGUUUGCUGCUUCACCGUCGCUUACCUCAAAUAGGUUAGUGCAACUCUUGGUUGGACAUAGUACGGCGUGAUAAGUGUUCUUCGCCGGUGCCUCGCAAAGAGGGUGGCCGAUCGGGAUGUUGUGCUCCAAACCGUCUUCGGACAAUCUCUGACGACUUAACCUCAAAUCGAGUAAGACUACCCGCUGAACUUAAGCAUAUCAAUAAGCGGAGGA
rnacentral:misc_RNA from 1 species